rnacentral:rRNA from 1 species
UGGAGGAAAGUAGGGGAUCGUAAGACCUUGCGCUUUUGGAGUGGCCGAUGCCUGAUUAGCUAGUUGGUGGGGUAAGGGCCUACCAAGGCAACGAUCAGUAGUUGGUCUGAGAGGACGACCAGCCACACUGGGACUGAGACACGGCCCAGACUCCUACGGGAGGCAGCAGUGGGGAAUUUUGGACAAUGGGCGAAAGCCUGAUCCAGCAAUGCCGCGUGAGUGAAGAAGGCCUUCGGGUUGUAAAGCUCUUUCAGUCGAGAAGAAAAGGUUGUGACUAAUAAUCACAACUCAUGACGGUACCGACAGAAGAAGCACCGGCUAACUACGUGCCAGCAGCCGCGGUAAUACGUAGGGUGCGAGCGUUAAUCGGAAUUACUGGGCGUAAAGGGUGCGCAGGCGGCUUUGUAAGUCAGAUGUGA